AAAGAACCCUAAUGAAGUCAUUCUGAGCUGGUAAUGAAUAGGCCUUUCUUUCCCACAGCCCUCCCUUGCCUGGACCAGAAGAAACGGAUUAAUAAUCACAGAACCUGCUGUCUCCUUGGCCUCCCUCCUCCUCCAAUACCUCCUCCUCCGCCACCGCUAUUUCCUCUAUCACAGUUCCAGGGAGCAUGGAGUUCUAUGUUGCUGGAUCUGGAUUGGAACCACUUAUGUCAAGAGCUUCAGAUAACAGACUCUCCGUGUAUAGAAUCUGUAUGCCUUCCAGGGCCUCCUGGUCCCCAGGGCCCACAAGGUAUUCCUGGUGCAAGGGGACCAAAGGGGGCAAAAGUAAGUGACAGGAUUGUUUUCUUAACAACGAAUAAUUGUGAUUCUGUGGAUAUAU
rnacentral:lncRNA from 1 species